rnacentral:piRNA from 1 species
CGACAGGCAAGCACAUGACUU